rnacentral:rRNA from 1 species
UAUGUCUGGGAACUGCCUGAUGGAGGGGGAUAACUACUGGAAACGGUAGCUAAUACCGCAUAACGUCGCAAGACCAAAGAGGGGGACCUUCGGGCCUCUUGCCAUCGGAUGUGCCCAGAUGGGAUUAGCUAGUAGGUGGGGUAACGGCUCACCUAGGCGACGAUCCCUAGCUGGUCUGAGAGGAUGACCAGCCACACUGGAACUGAGACACGGUCCAGACUCCUACGGGAGGCAGCAGUGGGGAAUAUUGCACAAUGGGCGCAAGCCUGAUGCAGCCAUGCCGCGUGUAUGAAGAAGGCCUUCGGGUUGUAAAGUACUUUCAGCGGGGAGGAAGGGAGUAAAGUUAAUACCUUUACUCAUUGACGUUACCCGCAGAAGAAGCACCGGCUAACUCCGUGCCAGCAGCCGCGGUAAUACGGAGGGUGCAAGCGUUAAUCGGAAUUACUGGGC